rnacentral:rRNA from 1 species
UACGUAGGGGGCAAGCGUUGUCCGGAAUCAUUGGGCGUAAAGCGCGUGUAGGCGGCCAGAAAAGUCCGCUGUGAAGACUCGAGGCUCAACUUCCAGACGUCGACGGAAACCGUGUGGCUAGAGUCCGGAAGAGGAGAGUGGAAUUCCUGGUGUAGCGGUGAAAUGCGCAGAUAUCAGGAAGAACACCAAUGGCGAAGGCAGCUCUCGUGGGACGGUACUGACGCUGAGACGCGAAAGCGUGGGGAGCGAACAGG